UGGGGAAUAUUGCACAAUGGGCGAAAGCCUGAUGCAGCAACGCCGCGUGAGUGAUGAAGGUCUUCGGAUUGUAAGGCUCUGUCUUUUGGGACGAUAAUGACGGUACCAAAGGAGGAAGCCACGGCUAACUACGUGCCAGCAGCCGCGGUAAUACGUAGGUGGCGAGCGUUGUCCGGAUUUACUGGGCGUAAAGGGUGCGUAGGCGGAUGUUUAAGUGAGAUGUGAAAUACCCGGGCUUAACUUGGGUGCUGCAUUUCAAACUGGAUAUCUAGAGUGCAGGAGAGGAGAAUGGAAUUCCUAGUGUAGCGGUGAAAUGCGUAGAGAUUAGGAAGAACACCAGUGGCGAAGGCGAUUCUCUGGACUGUAACUGACGCUGAGGCACGAAAGCGUGGGUAGCAAACAGGAUUAGAUACCCUGGUAGUCCACGCCGUAAACGAUGAGUACUAGGUGUAGGAGGUAUCGACCCCUUCUGUGCCGCAGUAAACACAUUAAGUACUCCGCCUGGGAAGUACGAUCGCAAGAUUAAAACUCUAAAGUGAAUU
rnacentral:rRNA from 1 species